GAUGAACGCUGGCGGCGUGCCUAAUACAUGCAAGUCGAGCGAACAGACGAGGAGCUUGCUCCUCUGACGUUAGCGGCGGACGGGUGAGUAACACGUGGAUAACCUACCUAUAAGACUGGGAUAACUUCGGGAAACCGGAGCUAAUACCGGAUAAUAUAUUGAACCGCAUGGUUCAAUAGUGAAAGACGGUUUUGCUGUCACUUAUAGAUGGAUCCGCGCCGCAUUAGCUAGUUGGUAAGGUAACGGCUUACCAAGGCAACGAUGCGUAGCCGACCUGAGAGGGUGAUCGGCCACACUGGAACUGAGACACGGUCCAGACUCCUACGGGAGGCAGCAGUAGGGAAUCUUCCGCAAUGGGCGAAAGCCUGACGGAGCAACGCCGCGUGAGUGAUGAGGGUCUUCGGAUCGUAAAACUCUGUUAUUAGGGAAGAACAAAUGUGUAAGUAGCUAUGCACGUCUUGACGGUACCUAAUCAGAAAGCCACGGCUAACUACGUG
rnacentral:rRNA from 1 species